AGAGUUUGAUCAUGGCUCAGGACGAACGCUGGCGGCGUGCCUAACACAUGCAAGUCGAGCGGGGACAUUGAAGGAGUAAUCUGACGGUGUUCUAGCGGCGGACGGGUAAGUAACGCGUGAGCAACCUGUCCUUGUCAGGGGGAUAAGAAGCCGAAAGGCUUUCUAAUACCGCAUGAGACCACGGCUCCCCCAUGGAGCAGAGGUCAAAGGAGCAAUCCGGACAAGGGUGGGCUCGCGUCUGAUUAGCUAGUUGGUGGGGUAACGGCUCACCAAGGCAGUGAUCAGUAGCCGACCUGAGAGGGUGAUCGGCCACAUUGGAACUGAGAGACGGUCCAAACUCCUACGGGAGGCAGCAGUGGGGAAUAUUGGGCAAUGGGCGAAAGCCUGACCCAGCAACGCCGCGUGAAGGAAGAAGGUUUUCGGAUCGUAAACUUCUAUCCCGGGUGAAGAUAAUGACGGUAGCCCGGAAGGAAGCCCCGGCUAACUACGUGCCAGCAGCCGCGGUAAUACGUAGGGGGCAAGCGUUGUCCGGAAUGAUUGGGCGUAAAGGGCGCGUAGGCGGCCUUGUAAGUCCGAUGUGAAAUUCCUGCUUUUAAGGUAGGAAUUGCAUUGGAAACUGCGGGGCUUGAGUGCAGGAGAGGUAAGUGGAAUUCCCGGUGUAGCGGUGAAAUGCGUAGAGAUCGGGAGGAACACCAGUGGCGAAGGCGACUUACUGGACUGUAACUGACGCUGAGGCGCGAAAGUGUGGGGAGCAAACAGGAUUAGAUACCCUAGUAGUCC
rnacentral:rRNA from 1 species